AGCGAACGCUGGCGGCAGGCCUAACACAUGCAAGUCGAACGAACCCUUCGGGGUUAGUGGCGGACGGGUGAGUAACACGUGGGAACGUGCCUUUAGGCGCGGAAUAACUGAGGGAAACUUGUGCUAAUACCGAAUGUGCCCUUUGGGGGAAAGAUUUAUCGCCUUUAAAGCGGCCCGCGUCUGAUUAGCUAGUUGGUGAGGUAAUGGCUCACCAAGGCUACGAUCAGUAGCUGGUCUGAGAGGAUGACCAGCCACAUUGGGACUGAGACACGGCCCAAACUCCUACGGGAGGCAGCAGUGGGGAAUCUUGCGCAAUGGGCGAAAGCCUGACGCAGCCAUGCCGCGUGGAUGAUGAAGGUCUUAGGAUUGUAAAAUCCUUUCACCGGUGAAGAUAAUGACUGUAGCCGGAGAAGAAGCCCCGGCUAACUUCGUGCCAGCCGCCGCAGUAAAAC
rnacentral:rRNA from 1 species